ensembl:snRNA U2 U2 spliceosomal RNA
CUCACUUCUCGGCCUUUUGGCUAAGAUCAAGUGUAGUAUCUGUUCUUAUCAGUUUAAUAUCUGAUAUGUUCUCUAUCCGACGGAGAAGGCAAUGGCACCCCAC